UAUACUUUUCAUAAAUUUAGAAAUUGAGAUAUAUACUUCAAUAAAUAAAAUAUUAGUCUCAGAUUAAAAAAUUAAGAUGCAGCAGUGAUUCGCAAACUUUUAAAGUGUGCAAAAUUAGUUAUUGAGCGUCUAUAUGCUUCAUUUUAAAACAAUUUAAUGAAGCUUAAUUAUCAAAUCGUAUCAAAUUAUUUGAAAUGAAAAUAAUUUAUUAUUAAUUUAUUUAAUAAAUUUUAAAUAUAUAAAAUUUUUAUAUCAUAAUCAGCAAAAUGAAUAUUUAGUAAUCAGCAACAGCGAUAUACGAAAUUUUUAUUGUGAAUUCAACAGAUUAAUUGUAAAUUAAUUUUGUGUAUCACCCAUUAAUAACUUUUGCUAAUAUUUUGUAAAACCGUCUCAUUUUAAGAUUUUAGUCUCAAAAAAGUAAAGUGUAAUAUAAAAGAUGUUCCAUAUUCACCCCCCUUAAAAAAGUUUUUUUUUUUUUUCAAUUCUUGUCAAAAAUGAAGUCAUUCAAAUCUACACUUUAGGGGUCGCAAAUCUACAUUUAAAUAUCAAAAGAAUAAAAAAGCUAUCAGUAUCUGAGGAAUUAUCAACCAUUUCAAUCUCAGUAAACUUAAGAUAAUAAUCAUCAAAACCACUUAUUAAUAGGAUGAAACUAAAAGACUGGCAUUUGAAUGGCAGCAAAUUUUAAAUAGAAAGCUCGAAGAAGUUAGUGAAAAAAAUGGUAAAAGAAUUUCUUUUAAAAUCUAAUUUAAAAUUAUUUAUAUUCAAAAUUAAUUAACAACGAAAAUAUAUAACAUCUUUCUCAACCCACACGGUUAUAUCCACUAACGGUGCUUUCUGAUAUUGCAAAUUAACUGCUGGUUUGCCGUAAGUUACGGGUAACCAACAUUUUUUGGAAGAGAGCUAUUGUCGGAAGAAAAUAUAUACAUGCCCUUUACAACUUUUAUACGCUUAUAGCACAUUUUAUUUAUGUAAGUCUGAAUAGUAGAAAUUUAAAAAAAGUAAUAUAAAUUAAAUAAAAAUGUAAACUUCAGAAAUAUUUUCAAUAAACAUUUUUAAAUGCUCAGUCAGCGUGAAUAUAAAUAAGAAUAGUAAAACUUGAAUUAUUUAAUCAACUAAACUGAACUACUACUACUAAAUUCAGUGGAGCGACAGCCCAUAGAGGGAAAAGGCCUACUGUGCCUGUCUCAGUUUUCUUGACCUUGGGCUCUGGGGAUCAGGAGCAGAUGCUCCAGUUAGGAAUUAUUUAAUCUAAAUAAUAAUUAAUCAUUUAAAAUUAAUAUAUAAAUUUUGAAUUUGGUUAUUUUUUCGGCAAAUUCUUUAAGAAAUAGUUUGAUUUUAUUAUGUCCAUGAUAGAAAAAAUAGGUCACGAUUAUUGGUCGAUCCAGACCUACAAUAAUAUUCUACAGCGAAAUCGUAUAAGCCAAAUUCGUACAGCCCAAUCGUGUAAAACAGAGACAAAUUUUGCAGGCUUGGUAAAAAAUUAUUUAUAAAAUUGAGUCGCAGUGUUGCUACCAGUUUCGACUAAAAUCUUGGAGGUGAAAUUAUUGCUUCUUUUGCUUCCAAUUUCACGUGCCACUGUGCCAUGGCACACCGUGGCACGCAUCUACAAGUGGCUCAUCGAUGCAGUAAGGUAUAAGUUCUAAUAACUCCGUUUUUAACAAGAAUUCUAUAGAAAUAUAUUAAAAGUGAUGAUUAUAAAGCAUCUUAUAUAAUAUAUUUUGCAUAUUUUUGGUUCAGAAUGCCCAAUUUUAAUUUCGACUAAAGUGAAUUUUUCUUUAAACUUUGAAAUGUACUUAAAUGUCUGUGAUGAAUUUGCUAAAAUAACUUUGAUAGAAUCUAUUAUUGGUGAAAUAGAAUAGAAAGUAACUUGUGUACAGAUAACUUUUUAUUCUUUAUUAAAAGGCUUUUUAGUUUUAUUUAUUACUUUUUUGAACUAGUGCUGUUUUUAUUACUUUUUAACAAAAGUUGAUGUAAUAAAAAAAAAAUUUUAAUUUUAAAUCUGAGUAUUAGAAAACUUAAUAAAAGGAAAGCGACCCAAAUAUGGGCCCCUAUGUAUUUUUUUUUUCAUUAUUCUAUUUUUUGUAGAAGACAAAAAGUUGAAAAUUGUUUAAUGUAUUUUUCUUGCCAAAGAAAAUCUUUAGUCCUUAUUCUGAAUCUUGACAUCAUUGACCUACAAAAUAUAGAAUUUUUUUUUUCUUCUAAGGCCAAAACACUCUUCCUUCACCCAAACGCAGCACACAUUGCACACAACCAUGUCUUAGUGUUUUUCUAGAAAAAACUGAACACAAUAGCACAAAAACAAGACUCUUUAGAACUGCAACAGUUAUUACUUAUGUCAUUGGGUUUAGACUUGGCAGCUGGUUUCGACACGGCAGCUAGUUUGAACAUUUUUGAACUUUAACAGCUAUUACUUAUGUCAUGGGUUUAGACUUGGCAGCUGGUUUCGACACGGCAGCUAGUUUGAACAGUUUGUACUUCAACAGUUAUUACUUAUGUCAUUGAGUUUACACUUGGCAGCUGGUUUCGACACGGCAGCUAGUUUGAACAGUUUGUACUUCAACAGCUAUUACAUAUGUCAUUGGGUUUAGAUUUAGCAGCUGGUUUCGACACGGAAGCUAGUUUGAACAGUUUAUUCUUCAACAGUUAUUACUUAUGUCAUAGGCUUAGACUUGGCAGCUGGUUUCGACACGGCAACUAGUUUGAACAUGGCAGCUGAUUUCGAUAUGGCAGCUAUUUUCAACUUGGGAAGUGGUUUAAACGGGUAGUGGUUUCAAAUCAGUCAGCUAGUUUCAAUAUGGCAGCUAAUUUCAAUAUGGCAGCUGGUUUCAAUAAGGCAACAGGUUUCUCACAGUAACCAAAUUAGGAAUCCUUUUAGUGCCCAUAACAGGUCCGAUGACCAUUUUUACUUUAUUGAAAAUAGUUGUACAUGGUUACAAAUUCAAAAUUCGUGACAAGACUAUUUAGAAGAUAAAGAAUUCACCUUAGUUCUCCCAAUAAUGUUUAAUGGUCAAGACAAGAGCUUUUUUAGUAAAAAAGACAUACUUAUAUUUUAAAUUUCGAAGAACAAAGUUUACUACCAACAAAAUAUUUUUGUUGCUUUGCUACGUAGUAUUUAAUUGCAAAAACGGAAGACUCAUGUUACUACUUCAGCUUAUUUGCAUUGCUUAAAGCGUAUUUACUGCCAUCUACAUUCAAAACAAGCAAUUAAACAUACUUUACAGUAGUGAUCAUAUUAGAUGCACUGCCCAUAUUUGGGUUACUUAACUUAAUUCAUUUUAAUUCCUUGAUGCUUUCUAAUAAAUGCAUAUUUUUUUCGUAUUGUGAUAAUUGUAUUCAUUUAUUAUUGGAACUGUGUUCCCCUUCUCUAAAGUUUUAUCUCUUAUGGGCUCAAAUUUGUGCCAAAUUUAAGCCUCUGAACAAUUAAUACAAUUGUUUAAACAAAGUUGUAUUUAAAUAAGUCUUUAUUUAUGUUAAAAACAAUAUUUAAAUAUUUUUCGACAAUAUCCUUUGAGAUGAUUUAGAUUGUGUGACAAAUGACUUUUAAUUGUCUUGAUGUCUUCUGCUAAUUAUCUGUAUGAAAUGUAAUCGAUAAAUUUUUUUAUGUUUAUUAGGCAUGAUGCUUAUUAAUAAACAUAAAAAUAAAACCAA